rnacentral:rRNA from 1 species
CCUACGGGAGGCAGCAGUGAGGAAUAUUGGUCAAUGGACGAGAGUCUGAACCAGCCAAGUAGCGUGAAGGAUGACUGCCCUAUGGGUUGUAAACUUCUUUUAUAUGGGAAUAAAAUGUUCCACGUGUGGGAUUUUGUAUGUACUAUAUGAAUAAGGAUCGGCUAACUCCGUGCCAGCAGCCGCGGUAAUACGGAGGAUCCGAGCGUUAUCCGGAUUUAUUGGGUUUAAAGGGAGCGUAGGUGGAUUGUUAAGUCAGUUGUGAAAGUUUGCGGCUCAACCGUAAAAUUGCAGUUGAAACUGGCAGUCUUGAGUACAGUAGAGGUAGGCGGAAUUCGUGGUGUAGCGGUGAAAUGCUUAGAUAUCACGAAGAACUCCGAUUGCGAAGGCAGUUCACUAGACUGCAACUGACACUGAGGCUCGAAAGUGUGGGUAUCAAACAGGAUUAGAUACCCGGGUAGUC